UACGAAGGGUGCAAGCGUUACUCGGAAUUACUGGGCGUAAAGCGUGCGUAGGUGGUUUGUUAAGUCUGAUGUGAAAGCCCUGGGCUCAACCUGGGAAUUGCAUUGGAUACUGGCAGGCUAGAGUGACGGUAGAGGAUGGCGGAAUUCCCGGUGGUAGCAGUGAAAUGCGUAGAGAUCGGGAGGAACGAUCUGUGGCGAAGGCGGCCAUCUGG
rnacentral:rRNA from 1 species